CGCCCGGGGCGCGCCCCGGGCGGGGCGGGGGCACGGGGGGAACGCGAAGAACCUUACCAGGUCUUGACAUCCCUCUGACCGCUCUAGAGAUAGAGUUCUCCUUCGGGACAGAGGUGACAGGUGGUGCAUGGUUGUCGUCAGCUCGUGUCGUGAGAUGUUGGGUUAAGUCCCGCAACGAGCGCAACCCCUAUUGUUAGUUGCCAUCAUUCAGUUGGGCACUCUAGCGAGACUGCCGGUAAUAAACCGGAGGAAGGUGGGGAUGACGUCAAAUCAUCAUGCCCCUUAUGACCUGGGCUACACACGUGCUACAAUGGCUGGUACAACGAGUCGCAAGUCGGUGACGGCAAGCUAAUCUCUUAAAGCCAGUCUCAGUUCGGAUUGUAGGCUGCAACUCGCCUACAUGAAGUCGGAAUCGCUAGUAAUCGCGGAUCAGCACGCCGCGGUGAAUACGUUCCCGGGCCUUGUACACACCG
rnacentral:rRNA from 1 species